rnacentral:rRNA from 1 species
UCCUCCCUCCUUCUUCGUGCUUAACACAUGCAAGUCGAACGGAAAGGCCCUGCUUUUGUGGGGUGCUCGAGUGGCGAACGGGUGAGUAACACGUGAGUAACCUGCCCUUGACUUUGGGAUAACUUCAGGAAACUGGGGCUAAUACCGGAUAGGAGCUCCUGCUGCAUGGUGGGGGUUGGAAAGUUUCGGCGGUUGGGGAUGGACUCGCGGCUUAUCAGCUUGUUGGUGGGGUAGUGGCUUACCAAGGCUUUGACGGGUAGCCGGCCUGAGAGGGUGACCGGCCACAUUGGGACUGAGAUACGGCCCAGACUCCUACGGGAGGCAGCAGUGGGGAAUAUUGCACAAUGGGCGGAAGCCUGAUGCAGCAACGCCGCGUGCGGGAUGACGGCCUUCGGGUUGUAAACCGCUUUCGCCUGUGACGAAGCGUGAGUGACGGUAAUGGGUAAAGAAGCACCGGCUAACUACGUG